UACCCAUUCGAAUCCUCACCGAAUGGUUCCACUUAUGCUUUUGUAGACAUUCAAUUAAUCUUAGAAUAAUUGGAACAGGCGGUUAUCGGAAAGCUAUGGCAGCUGUCAAGGGAAAAUCUAAAGUGGGUUUAACCCGGGUCUUUGAAGAUGGCCAAUCUCGUAAAAAUUCGGGUGCUAGAAAUUUUAAAGUUUUGCCUGAAAAUGAGCAGCUCAAAAUAGAUGAUGAUGGGCUCGCGAAACCAGCAACAGGAGCCAGUGAACAUGCAAG